AGGAGCCUGUAGAUCCUGGUUGCAUCUUUGUCACUGUACAAUUUUACAAGAGAAAAACAUGUCCACAAGGUUGUGUCUGGGAAGAACUUUUACUUGAAAAUUGAGCUAGGCCAAACCAUGUGUACCAAAGCCCAGUCUGAUUUGGCUGAUUGUCCCUUCAAUGAACAGCCAGAUCAACAGAAGAGGGCCGUCUGUAAUUUCCAGAUCAAUGUUGAACCUUGGCUGAACAAGAUAUCCCUGACAAACUUCAAAUGUUACAAUGUCUGAGGAUCUAUGUCAGGCUACACUUCUGUUGAAUACCCCUUACUCUUACUCAAUCAUCUCCUUAAGUUUUCCUUUACUUAGACAGAGAGCAUAGCCCUGAAGAAU
rnacentral:lncRNA from 1 species